rnacentral:rRNA from 1 species
UACGGAGGGGACUAGCGUUGUUCGGAAUUACUGGGCGUAAAGCGCGCGUAGGCGGAUUUGCAAGUCGGGGGUGAAAGCCCGAGGCUCAACCUCGGAACUGCCCUCGAUACUGCAAAUCUCGAGUCCGAGAGAGGUGAGUGGAAUUCCUAGUGUAGAGGUGAAAUUCGUAGAUAUUGGGAGGAACACCGGUGGCGAAGGCGGCUACCUGGACCGGUUCUGACGCUGAUGCGCGAAAGCGUGGGUAGCAAACAGG